CCUGCCAUCCCCCGUGUGAAUAAACCCUAUUUCAAGUUAAAGGAAGUCCUUAUUUCCAUACGUGGCGCACGUGGGUGCUUAUAGACUAGUCUUCCCGAUGGGGGAGGCGCCAGAGAUCCAGCAACUAGAUUCCUCCUCCUCCCCCGCCCGGUUGAGCUAGGAUAAUGUACUAAAUCUGGCUGCAAGAGGAUCAUAACUUGCUGAGUUGCUAUUUGCUCAGGCGAGUUGUUUGCACAAGCGCUGCCUAUACGGUGGACCUGGGCGGGGAAUACAAAGAGGAAAUGCAGCAGCGGCUGGACGUUUGCAGCUGAUUUCUCUCUCCCCUCCUCCGCCCCCGUAAUGCCGGAAGGAAGCAGCUUCCGUACUCCAGGAUCUGAGCCUCAGGGCUUUGCAAGCUAGCUAGAAAAGAGAAAACCUCCAGCCGCUUUACUUUGCCCUGGUGCGCGCCAACUCGCAAGGAGCAAACCAUGGCCGCGGAUCUCCCUCCCACCCUCUCGAUCCAGCUGGUAGAGGAGCCCAGACUGCUGAAGCUGAAGAAGAUGUUCAUCUCUAAAUUUCAAUCAACUCCCAAGUUUUAUGCUCGGGCACCAGGGCGAGUCAACUUAAUAGGUGAACAUAUAGAUUAUUGUGGAUAUGCUGUGCUCCCAAUGGCCAUAGAGCAAGAUAUACUUAUAGCUGCUGAACCUCUAAACACUCCAGCUAUCCAUCUGGCCAAUACAAACCCUUUGUACUCGGAUUUUACUACAAAUGCCAACAACAUUCAAAUUAAUCAAACGGAACCUUUGUGGCACAACUACUUUCUAUGUGGAGUCAAAGGAAUUGAGGAUCAUUUCAGUCUAGACAGUCCAAGUGGCAUGAAUUGCCUUGUAGAAGGAACCAUCCCUCCAAGUUCUGGCCUCUCCAGUUCCAGUGCCUUGGUCUGCUGUGCAGGACUCGUGACCCUUAUGGCAAAUGGAAAGACUCUUCCAAAGGUGGAGCUGGCUGAACUCUGCAGCAAGAGUGAACGCUACAUUGGCACAGAAGGAGGAGGCAUGGACCAAUCCAUCUGCUUUCUUGCAGAAAAGGGAACUGCCAAGCUGAUACAGUUCAAUCCUCUUAGGGCUACUGAUGUGAGGCUUCCAGAGGGAGUAGCUUUCCUUAUUGCCAAUAGUUGCGUUGAAAUGAACAAGGCAGCGACUUCUCAUUUUAAUAUUAGGGUGAUGGAGUGUCGUCUGGCUGCAAAGCUUCUAGCAAAAUCCAGAGGCCUAGAUUGGAAAGCAAUGGCAAAGCUCCAGGAAGUGCAGGUCAAGCUGAAACUAAGCUUAGAGGAAAUGCUGGCUGUGGUUGAGGAGGUGUUUCACCCUGAGCCUUACAGCAUAGAGGAAAUUGGGAAAAACCUGGGAAUUAGCUCCAAAGAGCUACGCACUCAGAUCCUCAGCCAGAACACACAAGAUGUGACCACCUUUAAAUUAUACCAACGUGCUAAGCAUGUGUACAGCGAAGCUGCCAGAGUCCUGGAGUUUAAGAAGAUUUGUACAGAGGCACCUGAAGAUGCAGUUCAGUUAUUGGGGGAUUUAAUGAACCAGAGCCAUGCCAGCUGCAAGGACUUAUAUGAGUGCAGCUGUCCUGAACUGAAUCAGCUGGUGGACAUCUGUCUGUCUUGAUCCAAAUCUACAAACAAAUUCAAAAGAGCCAGACAAAGGAUGAAUUGUUUGUCCAUUUAUCAGUGAGAUCUCAGAAAAUAAUUUUGUCUAGAACUGUUUUACCUUGGGGCAGCCCAACCACUUAUGCAGGAGCAGCUGAAUCUUGAAAAGUGUGAGGUGCCUCAUCCUGAUGAGCAGAACUGCUCGGCAUCUGGACUUUACCAGAUUUGGAAAUUUAUAUUAUGACUACUAACUAGGCAUAAACUAAAGGAUCUUUGCUGAUGAAUGCUGGCAAUUUGGAGCCAUUGGGUCGCGCCUGACGGGAGCAGGAUGGGGUGGCUGCACUGUGUCAAUGGUUCCUGUGGAGA